GUUCCUGUAGCGCAAUGGAUAGCGCGUUAGACUUCUAAUCUAAAGGGCUUAGGUUCGAAUCCUACCUGGGAUG